AAUUCAUGGCAACUAGUAUUCCCUCAAACUAUUUUUUCCCUUCUUAUUUUGCAGUCUUCCUGAGCUACUUACCUCUACCUUUGCUGAAUGUCAACAUUUACAGUGGGUUACUAAGCAUUUUCUCCGCUAUGGAACAACAUCAGAAAGAGAAAACUACAGAUCCCAUUCUGAAGAAUGCAAUUCUUUCCAUACCCACUGCUUGGAACUCCAGCAUCUAAUGUACCACCAAACCAAGUGCUCAAAUCACUGUCAGACAAUAAACAUUAUGUUGCUUAAACUAUGG
rnacentral:lncRNA from 1 species